rnacentral:rRNA from 1 species
UUCCGGUUGAUCCCGCCAGACCUGACUGCUAUCGGAUUGAUACUAAGCCAUGCGAGUCGUUGUAGCAAUACAAGGCAUACGGCUCAGUAACGCGUAGUCAACCUAACCUAUGGACGGGAAUAACCUCGGGAAACUGAGAAUAAUGCCCGAUAGAACAUUAUGCCUGGAAUGGUUUAUGUUCCAAAUGAUUUAUCGCCAUAGGAUGGGACUGCGGCCUAUCAGUUUGUUGGUGAGGUAAUGGCCCACCAAGACUAUUACAGGUACGGGCUCUGAGAGGAGUAGCCCGGAGAUGGGUACUGAGACACGGACCCAGGCCCUAUGGGGCGCAGCAGGCGAGAAAACUUUGCAAUGUGCGAAAGCACGACAAGGUUAAUCCGAGUGAUUUCUGCUAAAGAGAUCUUUUGUUAGUCCUAGAAACACUAACGAAUAAGGGGUGGGCAAGUUCUGGUGUCAGCCGCCGCGGUAAAACCAGCACCUCAAGUGGUCAGGAUGAUUAUUGGGCCUAAAGCAUCCGUAGCCGGCUCUGUAAGUUUUCGGUUAAAUCUGUACGCUCAACGUACAGGCUGCCGGGAAUACUGCAGAACUAGGGAGUGGGAGAGGUAGGCGGUACUCGGUAGGAAGUGGUAAAAUGCUUUGAUCUAUCGAUGACCACCUGUGGCGAAGGCGGUCUACCAGAACACGUCCGACGGUGAGGGAUGAAAGCUGGGGGAGCAAACCGGAUUAGAUACCCGGGUAGUCCCAGCUGUAAACUAUGCAAACUCAGUGAUGCAUUGGCUUGUGGCCAAUGCAGUGCUGCAGGGAAGCCGUUAAGUUUGCCGCCUGGGAAGUACGUACGCAAGUAUGAAACUUAAAGGAAUUGGCGGGGGAGCACCACAAGGGGUGAAGCCUGCGGUUCAA